GCCAGUGUGGUGCAGUGGCCUGAGUGUUUGACUAGGAUUCCAGGAGUCCAGGGUUCAAAUCUCUUCUCAGCCA